rnacentral:rRNA from 1 species
UGCUAAUACCGCAUAACAACGUUGUUCGCAUGAACAACGCUUAAAAGAUGGCUUCUCGCUAUCACUUCUGGAUGGACCUGCGGUGCAUUAGCUUGUUGGUGGGGUAACGGCCUACCAAGGCGAUGAUGCAUAGCCGAGUUGAGAGACUGAUCGGCCACAAUGGGACUGAGACACGGCCCAUACUCCUACGGGAGGCAGCAGUAGGGAAUCUUCCACAAUGGGCGCAAGCCUGAUGGAGCAACACCGCGUGAGUGAAGAAGGGUUUCGGCUCGUAAAGCUCUGUUGUUAAAGAAGAACACGUAUGAGAGUAACUGUUCAUACGUUGACGGUAUUUAACCAGAAAGUCACGGCUAACUACGUGCCAGCAGCCGCGGUAAUACGUAGGUGGCAAGCGUUAUCCGGAUUUAUUGGGCGUAAAGAGAGUGCAGGCGGUUUUCUAAGUCUGAUGUGAAAGCCUUCGGCUUAACCGGAGAAGUGCAUCGGAAACUGGAUAACUUGAGUGCAGAAGAGGGUAGUGGAACUCCAUGUGUAGCGGUGGAAUGCGUAGAUAUAUGGAAGAACACCAGUGGCGAAGGCGGCUACCUGGUCUGCAACUGACGCUGAGACUCGAAAGCAUGGGUAGCGAACAGGAUUAGAUACCCUGGUAGUCCAUGCCGUAAACGAUGAGUGCUAGGUGUUGGAGGGUUUCCGCCCUUCAGUGCCGGAGCUAACGCAUUAAGCACUCCGCCUGGGGAGUACGACCGCAAGGUUGAAACUCAAAGGAAUUGACGGGGGCCCGCACAAGCGGUGGAGCAUGUGGUUUAAUUCGAAGCUACGCGAAGAACCUUACCAGGUCUUGACAUCUUGCGCCAACCCUAGAGAUAGGGCGU